GGCUACGUAGCUCAGUUGGUUAGAGCACAUCACUAAUAAUGAUGGAGUCACAGGUUCGAAUCCCGUCGUAGCCACCA
rnacentral:tRNA from 1 species